UGGGGAAUAUUGCGCAAUGGGCGAAAGCCUGACGCAGCGACGCCGCGUGAGGGAAGAAGGCCUUCGGGUCGUAAAGCUCUGUCCUCAAGGAAGAUAAUGACGGUACUUGAGGAGGAAGCCCCGGCUAACUACGUGCCAGCAGCCGCGGUAAUACGUAGGGGGCUAGCGUUAUCCGGAUUUACUGGGCGUAAAGGGUGCGUAGGCGGUCCUUUAAGUCAGGAGUGAAAGGCUACGGCUCAACCGUAGUAAGCUCUUGAGACUGGAGGACUUGAGUGCAGGAGAGGAGAGUGGAAUUCCUAGUGUAGCGGUGAAAUGCGUAGAUACUAGGAGGAACACCAGUAGCGAAGGCGGCUCUCUGGACUGUAACUGACGCUGAGGCACGAAAGCGUGGGGAGCAAACA
rnacentral:rRNA from 1 species